CACGUAGGGGCGAGCGUUGUCCGGAUUUAUUGGGCGUAAAGAGCUCGUAGGCGGUUUCGUAAGUCGGAUGUGAAAACUCCAGGCCCAACUUGGAGACGCCAUUCGAUACUGCGAUGACUUGAGUCCGGUAGGGGAGUGUGGAAUUCCUGGUGUAGCGGUGAAAUGCGCAGAUAUCAGGAGGAACACCGGCGGCGAAGGCGGCACUCUGGGCCGGUACUGACGUGAGGAGCGAAAAGCGUGGGUAGCAAACAGG
rnacentral:rRNA from 1 species